CCUACGGGUGGCAGCAGUAGGGAAUAUUGGACAAUGGGCGAAAGCCUGAUCCAGCCAUGCCGCGUGAUAGAUGAAGGCCCUCUGGGUUGUAAAUAUCUUUUAUCUGGGAAGAAACAAUCUUAUUCUUAAGAUCUUGACGGUACCAGAUGAAUAAGCACCGGCUAACUCCGUGCCAGCAGCCGCGGUAAUACGGAGGGUGAAAGAGUUAUCCGGAUUCACUGGGUUUAAGGCGGGCUGAUGCGUCCUGGGUGAAAGCUCCGAGCUUAACUUGGAAACUGCCAUUGAUACUGCCAGUCUUGAAUGUCGUAGAGGUAAGCGGAAUGUUGCAUGUAGCGGUGAAAUGCUUAGAUAUGUUACAGAACACCAAUUGCGAAGGCAGCUUACUAUGCGAUGAUUGACGCUGAGGCACGAAAGCGUGGGGAGCAACCAGGAUUAGAUACCCUAGUAGUC
rnacentral:rRNA from 1 species